ensembl:lncRNA
CUCAAGAGAGGUUUCUACAAUAAUUAAACUGUAGCAGGACACUCAAUUGGAACUUUUAAUGGUCACCCCUGCCAACUAACGAGGGAGAAAAGAAAGCAGAAGAUAUAACUUCCAAAAGCAAUGCAAGCAGAAAAACACGUUCUUUAAAAUGAAGAGAUGACCUGGGAAAAGAUAAAAGGAACACUGAUUAUUUAAGUAUUGAAAAGGUUGCUGAAAUCUCCCAUAGCAGGCUUCUUCAACAGUAGCUAAAAUCAGCCAUAUUUUCAUGUUCUUGAUUCUGGAGAAGCAGUAGAAGCACUGACAUAAUGGAAGCUGCUGGCAUCAAGACCAUCUCAGUGAAAACUUCGGACAGUACACCUGACUUCAGCAUUUCUUCAUGUUUUGAUUUCAAGAAGCAUUCUAAGAAAGCUAAUGCUUGCUAGCUCAUCAGAAGCCAG